rnacentral:tRNA from 3 species
GCCCAGAUAGCUCAGUCGGCAGAGCAUCUCACUCGUAAUGAGAAGGUCGCGGGUUCGAUUCCCGCUCUGGGCUCCA